CCAAACUUGGUCAUUUAGAGGAAGUAAAAGUCGUAACAAGGUCUUCGUAGGUGAACCUGCGAAGGGAUCAUUAAUGAGAAAGGUACGCAAGUACCGACCUCCAACCCACCGAUGUUCUUCUAUUAUUGUUGCCUCCGCGGUAGAAGCUCAGUCACCUCGUGUGGCUCGCCGCAGAGGGUCUCUAUACUCUGUUUAUACUUAUAAGUCUGAGUCUGUUUAAAUCCAAACAAAACUUUCAACAACGGAUCUCUUGGUUCUGGCAUCGAUGAAGAACGCAGC
rnacentral:misc_RNA from 1 species